CAUGAUGCUGUGUCUACCUCCUGCC
rnacentral:piRNA from 1 species